AGCGUACACGGUGGAUGCCCUGGCAGUCAGAGGCGAUGAAGGACGUGCUAAUCUGCGAUAAGCGUCGGUGAGGUGAUAUGAACCGUUAUAACCGGCGAUUUCCGAAUGGGGAAACCCAGUGUGAUUCGUCACACUAUCAUUAACUGAAUCCAUAGGUUAAUGAGGCGAACCGGGGGAACUGAAACAUCUAAGUACCCCGAGGAAAAGAAAUCAACCGAGAUUCCCCCAGUAGCGGCGAGCGAACGGGGAGGAGCCCAGAGCCUGAAUCAGUGUGUGUGUUAGUGGAAGCGUCUGGAAAGGCGCGCGAUACAGGGUGACAGCCCCGUACACAAAAAUGCACAUAUUGUGAGCUCGAUGAGUAGGGCGGGACACGUGGUAUCCUGUCUGAAUAUGGGGGGACCAUCCUCCAAGGCUAAAUACUCCUGACUGACCGAUAGUGAACCAGUACCGUGAGGGAAAGGCGAAAAGAACCCCGGCGAGGGGAGUGAAAAAGAACCUGAAACCGUGUACGUACAAGCAGUGGGAGCCUCUUAAUGGGGUGACUGCGUACCUUUUGUAUAAUGGGUCAGCGACUUAUAUUCUGUAGCAAGGUUAACCGAAUAGGGGAGCCGAAGGGAAACCGAGUCUUAACUGGGCGUUAAGUUGCAGGGUAUAGACCCGAAACCCGGUGAUCUAGCCAUGGGCAGGUUGAAGGUUGGGUAACACUAACUGGAGGACCGAACCGACUAAUGUUGAAAAAUUAGCGGAUGACUUGUGGCUGGGGGUGAAAGGCCAAUCAAACCGGGAGAUAGCUGGUUCUCCCCGAAAGCUAUUUAGGUAGCGCCUCGUGAAUUCAUCUCCGGGGGUAGAGCACUGUUUCGGCAAGGGGGUCAUCCCGACUUACCAACCCGAUGCAAACUGCGAAUACCGGAGAAUGUUAUCACGGGAGACACACGGCGGGUGCUAACGUCCGUCGUGAAGAGGGAAACAACCCAGACCGCCAGCUAAGGUCCCAAAGUCAUGGUUAAGUGGGAAACGAUGUGGGAAGGCCCAGACAGCCAGGAUGUUGGCUUAGAAGCAGCCAUCAUUUAAAGAAAGCGUAAUAGCUCACUGGUCGAGUCGGCCUGCGCGGAAGAUGUAACGGGGCUAAACCAUGCACCGAAGCUGCGGCAGCGACACUAUGUGUUGUUGGGUAGGGGAGCGUUCUGUAAGCCUGUGAAGGUGGCCUGUGAGGGUUGCUGGAGGUAUCAGAAGUGCGAAUGCUGACAUAAGUAACGAUAAAGCGGGUGAAAAGCCCGCUCGCCGGAAGACCAAGGGUUCCUGUCCAACGUUAAUCGGGGCAGGGUGAGUCGACCCCUAAGGCGAGGCCGAAAGGCGUAGUCGAUGGGAAACAGGUUAAUAUUCCUGUACUUGGUGUUACUGCGAAGGGGGGACGGAGAAGGCUAUGUUGGCCGGGCGACGGUUGUCCCGGUUUAAGCGUGUAGGCUGGUUUUCCAGGCAAAUCCGGAAAAUCAAGGCUGAGGCGUGAUGACGAGGCACUACGGUGCUGAAGCGACAAAUGCCCUGCUUCCAGGAAAAGCCUCUAAGCAUCAGGUAACAUCAAAUCGUACCCCAAACCGACACAGGUGGUCAGGUAGAGAAUACCAAGGCGCUUGAGAGAACUCGGGUGAAGGAACUAGGCAAAAUGGUGCCGUAACUUCGGGAGAAGGCACGCUGAUAUGUAGGUGAAGCGACUUGCUCGUGGAGCUGAAAUCAGUCGAAGAUACCAGCUGGCUGCAACUGUUUAUUAAAAACACAGCACUGUGCAAACACGAAAGUGGACGUAUACGGUGUGACGCCUGCCCGGUGCCGGAAGGUUAAUUGAUGGGGUUAGCGGUAACGCGAAGCUCUUGAUCGAAGCCCCGGUAAACGGCGGCCGUAACUAUAACGGUCCUAAGGUAGCGAAAUUCCUUGUCGGGUAAGUUCCGACCUGCACGAAUGGCGUAAUGAUGGCCAGGCUGUCUCCACCCGAGACUCAGUGAAAUUGAACUCGCUGUGAAGAUGCAGUGUACCCGCGGCAAGACGGAAAGACCCCGUGAACCUUUACUAUAGCUUGACACUGAACAUUGAGCCUUGAUGUGUAGGAUAGGUGGGAGGCUUUGAAGUGUGGACGCCAGUCUGCAUGGAGCCGACCUUGAAAUACCACCCUUUAAUGUUUGAUGUUCUAACGUGGGCCCCUUACCGGGGUUGCGGACAGUGUCUGGUGGGUAGUUUGACUGGGGCGGUCUCCUCCUAAAGAGUAACGGAGGAGCACGAAGGUUGGCUAAUCCUGGUCGGACAUCAGGAGGUUAGUGCAAUGGCAUAAGCCAGCUUGACUGCGAGCGUGACGGCGCGAGCAGGUGCGAAAGCAGGUCAUAGUGAUCCGGUGGUUCUGAAUGGAAGGGCCAUCGCUCAACGGAUAAAAGGUACUCCGGGGAUAACAGGCUGAUACCGCCCAAGAGUUCAUAUCGACGGCGGUGUUUGGCACCUCGAUGUCGGCUCAUCACAUCCUGGGGCUGAAGUAGGUCCCAAGGGUAUGGCUGUUCGCCAUUUAAAGUGGUACGCGAGCUGGGUUUAGAACGUCGUGAGACAGUUCGGUCCCUAUCUGCCGUGGGCGCUGGAGAACUGAGGGGGGCUGCUCCUAGUACGAGAGGACCGGAGUGGACGCAUCACUGGUGUUCGGGUUGUCAUGCCAAUGGCACUGCCCGGUAGCUAAAUGCGGAAGAGAUAAGUGCUGAAAGCAUCUAAGCACGAAACUUGCCCCGAGAUGAGUUCUCCCUGACUCCUUGA
rnacentral:rRNA from 1 species